GGGAAUGGCUCAGUGGUAGAGCGCCACCUUGCCAAGGUGGAUGUCGCGGGUUCGAAUCUCGUUUCCC
rnacentral:tRNA from 1 species